AAUGUAUUUCCUCCAUCCCGAAAUUCUUGUCUUAAAUUUGUCUAGAUACGGAUGUAUCUAAUACUAAAACAUGACUUGAUACAUCCGUAUGUAGACAAAUUAGAUACAUACAUAUCUAGACAAAUGUAAGACAAUAAUUUUGGGACGGAGUGAGUAGAAU
rfam:Triticum aestivum genome assembly, contig: Triticum_aestivum_CS42_TGACv1_scaffold_195717_3AL